UACGGAGGGGGCUAGCGUUGUUCGGAAUUACUGGGCGUAAAGCGCACGUAGGCGGAUUGUUAAGUCGGGGGUGAAAUCCCGGGGCUCAUCCCCUGAAUGGCCUCCGAUACUGGCAAUCUUGCGGUCGGGAGAGGUGAGUGGAAUGGCAAGUGUAGAGGUGAAAUUCGUAGAUAUUCGCCGGAACACCAGUGGCGAAGGCGGCUCACUGGCCCGAUACUGACGCUGAGGUGCGACAACGUGGGGAGCAAACAGG
rnacentral:rRNA from 1 species